CUUUAUGAAGGUACAAAGGAUACAGGCAUAUGGGUAAAUUGAAGUAGGUGCUCAGAAGUAAUGGAAUAUAAGUUCUUUCUUAAUCUCAUAGUACUCUAGGCAGGCUCCCUAAUGACAGAGGGCAGAGUGGCUGACUUGAAUGGUAACUAUUGCUAUGUUGCUUGUAACACUGAACUGCGGGACAAGGGUUGAUUUUUUUGAGCAUGCCAGUCCCAGCAUUGUGCUUUGGGUUUUCUUAAGGGUAGACAAGAGAAUGCAUUUGAUCUAACCCAAAACAUAUGCUAUUUUCUCUAAUUUCCUCAUAAGGUAGAGGGGAGAUGACAGGAUCCUGGUUUUGAUAUAAUCUGUUUUCUGUGACAGAAGGAGCUAGUCCACACACCUGAUCAUCAAGAUGUCAAUCUCCUGCCACAAGAGUGGUGCUGGUUCCAAGCCUGCUGGGGAAUACAGCCCAAUUCAAACCUUCCAUCUUGUUGCUACUGGGAAAUGACAUCAGCCCCGAGGUGUUGAGUCACCGCAAAGGUGACAGUGACCCAGAAGACGGCUGGCUGCUCCUUGUAUAACAAAUACCUCAUGGGAGAUGCCUGCAGUUUCCGUUUCCUGUGACUGACACCCCACUUGUCCUUGCCUGCUUAUGCAUCUAUCUCAUCAUUGUUCGAAGUAGGGAACUUUACAGCGUCGUAGGGGCUAAUCACGUUUCCUGUCAGCUCCUAUCCUGGGUCGUCCUUGUCACUCAAAGUCAGGGAGAGCAAGAUGCCCACAUAGCCCUUGCCUGUGCCCACAUAGCCCAGAUGGUAAAAGGGUUAGCAGCUAAACAGGUCAUGUAAUGUGCUGAUGAGUAUUCUUUAUUAUUUCUCUACCUAAGUGGUCGACCGCACAGUAACUGCUAGUAUCUAGCAGAGCCCACCUCUCCUCAUUCCAAAGCACAUUGAAUGAGGCGGAAGAGAGGUUUCCUUUUUCCUCUGGUUAUAAUUAUGCAAACCAUCUGACACACCCGUGGACCACUUGCCUGAACUCUUCAUUUUUGGUUAGGCAGCAGGGACUGUCACCAAGGAACAGCACAGAAGCCCCAGAACAAUGCAACGAGGAAGGAAAUGAUAACAUGGGGCCUGUCACAUCUAGACUGGUCUUUAGGAUACCCGGUCCUGAAGAGUUGUGUGUGAUUGUAAGGAUCUCGAGGGCUUAGGAGGCAUUCCCUGGGUGUGAUUGCAUUGAUUUUGCAGAGCUGUGUAGGCCCCAUCACCUUCCUGUUCUGAAGAGGAAGGGGCAAGUCCAGGGCCUAGUGACCAGCUGUGUGUUCUGAAGUUUGCAGUGAUGCACCCCGGGUUUUGUGAGCGCGACUUUGGUGUUCCUUUUCCAACACAGGUUCUUUUCAUGUCUCCAUUUAGUGGUGUUCUGCACUUUGCAGACAGUCUUUCAAGAUCAUGGUCAUGAGCCAUCCAUCCUAUCCUUUCGUGGUUUGUACCAUUGUAUUUUUGAAGAGAUAAUUUACACAUUUGAUAGAGUUAAGAAGAUAAAGGAGAGUGUUUGGCUAAAACUGUGGCACAAAUUUAUCUACCCAUACCCCAAAAGAUAUACAAUUUAUCAGUUCCUAGUGUGUUCCACCACAGACGGAUAUAUGCAUGUCAUGGUAUAUCAUAUUAAGUUUUUGAUCAUACACUCCUUUCCUGUUUGUCUAUACUAGUGGAUACUACUUGUCUCUAGGAUCAGGCUGAGUCUUGUAGGGCAACAGAAUCCCUGGUGUCUACCUACAAGGUGACAAUAUCUCUCUUCCUCUAGCUCUGACAGCCACCAGUGUCUCCAGAGACUACCUAAAGUUCUCUGGGGUGCAGUACUUCUUAUACUAAAGAAAAGUAAUAAACUCUGUAUUGUGAUCUGAAAGUGCAGAAAACAGACCAAGGCCCCUGUUUUCUUUUGUUGAAGUUUGGGAGCAUGGCUCAUUUCCUCAAGAUUCUGAUGAUGCGUGCCUGCCAUCCUUGGCCUCCUGAGUGCUGAGAGGACAGGUCCAUGACACAGGGUCUACUUGGCUGUCCUUUUGGAUAUGGUGUUUGUUGCCACAUGCUUGGUUCUGGAGAAAGCUACUCCUUUCUCUCCGGGAAUGGAGGAGGAGGACAAGAAAGGACUUUCAGGACAAGCUUUUUUCUAGGCACCUCUAGCCUCCUUCACACAGGGGCCACAUCUCCUCGGCAUCCCAGGGAAGUGUGGAUGCUCUCUGUGCACUGUCUCUUUCCUCUGUCUCUUCACUGAAAACCUGUCCAAGGGCCAUGACUAUAAGCCCUCCUUAUCAUCCCUAAGGGUGGGGGCAGAGGGUGCCCUGAAGGCAGGUCUUCAGAUUCACUGUGGCCCAUCUAAAAGUUUCAGAGCAGCACAGAGUGGGUGAGAUGUUCAGGCCUUGGAGAUCCAGCAUUAAGAAUGAGAUGGAAGAGCUGAGGCUGUCUCUCCAGGGCAAUACAGAGCGGGUGCGAGGGCCAGGUUAAAACCACGUGUGCAAGAUGCUACUGCUGCCCCUGACUCUGUUCUUCCUUAAGCAAUGUCAGAACCUUCCUAACUCAGUUUCUGUUUUGUUCUAGCAGCAUUUAGAGAACACAGCCCAUUCCUAGAGCUGAAUUAUUCAUUCUGGACUCUUGGGGGGGAAAAUACACCAGAGGAAAAAAGAAUUUGCCUGAGAGGGUUAUCCUCCCAGAAGAGCUGGAAAAACCGACAGAAACUUUCCAGAGAGCCUGGGAAUGUUAGAACCUCACCUACCUGGACCACUGGCCUUUGAUAAAGUCCUCAUGACCAUGUCCCCCUAGCACUGGGAUAAGCCAUCCAGGAUGAAACCUGUCACACAGACAUCACCACACCAAGUCACAGAUGGUUUGUACUGAGAUGUCCUCACCACGUUAGUGUUAAGCACACAAGACGAAACCUGCUACACAGACAACACACCGGCCAAGCUACCACUGGUUGGUGAUGUAGAAAACCUCUGUGAAGAUGUGGACCCUUUGACAUCUGGCUCAGACACACAAGCUAAAGAGAAUGCCAUGAAAAUUAGGCCAGGUGAGGACCCUAGGCCUGAUAACAAGUUCCUGUUGAUCCCUGUCCAGGAGUAUGGUCCCAACUCAAUGAAGAAAUCUUCAUGCACCGGGUUUCUGACCCCAGGCUGAUCCAUCUUCUUCUGAACUAUAUGGAGUGAUGGGAACCCCAAGAGCCUAAAGUGAAGACUUCUCCACACCAAACACCUUCUAAGAAAGGCACUUCUCUUUCCUUCCUGUAUCUGUUCUAAAUUCACACUAGUGUGAGGCAGCCGGACCUCUGCUUGGAUCAGCAGGUACUGUUAUCACACAAGCCUUUGUGGACCCCAUUUGCAACAUUUUUUUUUCUUCCCUGCCUGUUAAGGAUAUUCUCAACUCGAUGCAACUAUUCUUUGGUUAUUUUUUUUUCUUUCUAGCCUUCUAUUCAUUUCUGUUGAGUUACUCUAGGGAUUUUUUUUUUCAUUUUGGUUAAAACUUUCAGCUCAAGAAUCCCUGUUUCCAAUUAAUUCCUAUUAAUAGUUGCUACAUAAACCAUCCUUUAACUAUGAUCCACUUACCAGAGAACUGUAAGCCAGUAUCCUGGUGUGUGUCUGGGGGGGGGGGGGUGAAGGGGGAGAAGGAGAGAGGGAGGAGAGGGGAAGAGAGAAAUGGUGGCACCAGACAGAGGGGAGAUAAAAGGAGGGUUUCUUUGCUCAACUGUAAACAAAAGUAAAGAAAUGGGAUGAUGCAAAAUCAACUGUAAACGGAAGUAAAGAAAUAAGAUAAUGAAAAAUCAAAAUAUUUGGGAAGAAUGGCAAGUGAAGAAAGCAGUUCAGAUGGUGGAGGUGAUUAAUUUUAUGCUGUAUCGGCAGCCCAUGGCUACUGCAACCAAAUACCACAAACCCAGUAGGGAAUCAUUCCUUUGUAACUCCACUGUCAGGACCAUUUCUCCUGCCAGCCCUGCAGGACUCCAACCUCUAACAUGCUCCAGGUUAUUUGCGGAGCUGCAGUAGCAGAACUCCAUGCAGCCCCAGCCUCCUGCUCCACAUACCUUCUCUGUGUCUCAUCUUUGUUUCUUAAGAGGACAGUUGCCUUGGCCUGGGGCUUUCCUAUCUACCUGCCUCUUGAAUUUAUGGUUCUUAAGAGUCAUUUAGGCCCAUGGUUCUCAACCUUCCUAAUGCUGUGAACUUUGAAUACAGUUCCUCAUGGUGUGGUUACACACACACACACACACACACACACACACACACACACACACACACACACCAACCAUAAAAUUACUUCAUUGCUAGCUACUUCAUAACUAAUCUUGCUGCUGUAAUGAAUCAUAAUGUAAACAUCAGAUAUACAGGAUAUCUGAUAUGUGACCCCCCCACCAAAGAGAUCUUGAAAACCACGAUUUGAGUAGCUUCCCUAAAUGGGCUCACACAGAGCUACCCAUCAUGCAGUGCAUUUGUAGUAGCCAGCCCUACUAUGUGAUGUGGCUAGAAUGGGUCUAGACUGGGUUGUGGGGAGAUCCAGUUUCCUCAGCAGACCUGCUUUCCUUAUAGCCAGCUCUCCAGGGCCAAGCCAGAUGCUGGGAGUACCUGGGGAUAUAUAUAGUGCAGGAACCCUCUCUGUGGAGCUUCAAGUUGCAACUCACUGGACACCAGGCUGCCGGGAUGAGAUAGGAAAGAAACACUCAGCCAGGUUUCUGAGUGCUCAGCUGUGUGUCCUAGCACAUAAAACUGUUCCAAAUGGCUCAGGAUUCAGUCCUCUUUUCCAAAGUGCAUCCUUCCCCUCUAUGAACUACUGGGAAGUGGUGGGUAGAGCAUAGGAGACAGCAAAGAGGUACCAGAGGAGUCAAGGGCCUGGGCAGGCAUCGAUGGUGCUCCAGAGAAGACUCGUUUUUGUUUUGUUUUCGAGAAAGGGUUUCUCUAUGUAGCCCAAGCUGUCCUGGAACUCACUCUGUAGACCAGGCUAGCCUCAAACUCAGAGAUCUGCCUGCCUCUGCCUCCUAACUAAUUACUGGGAUCAAAGACAUGCACCAUCACCACCCAGCUCUAAGUCAGACUCUUAACAACACACACUAUUUGAAUGUGCUUGGCCCAUGGGACGUGACACUUUUAGGAUAUGUGGCCUUAUUUAAGAAAGUGUGUCACUGUGGGGAUAGGCUUUGAGGUCUCUCAUGUGUAGGCUCUUCUCAGUGUAGAAGAGAGCCUCCUCCUGGCUGCCUUUGAAUCAAAAUGUAAAACUCUUGGCUCCUCCAGCCCCAUGUCUGCCUGCACUCUGCCAUGUUUCCCACCAUGAUAAUGAUGUGAACCUCUGAACCUGUAAGCCAACCCCGAUGAAAUGUUUGUUUUUAUAAGUGUUGCCUUGGUCAUGGUGUCUCUUCACAGUAAUAAACCCUAACUAAGACACACAUCUUGAAUUCUGAGCUGUGCAUUUUGGGGAGAAAUUGGUGAUAGUCACAGUAUAUCCCAUUGAACAAGAGCCUGCAUGUAGCCCUCCAUGUGCAGGGCCAAGUU
rnacentral:lncRNA from 1 species